CCUAUGGGGCGCUGCAGUGGGGAAUAUUGGACAAUGGGCGAAAGCCUGAUCCAGCCAUGCCGCGUGUGUGAAGAAGGCCUUCGGGUUGUAAAGCACUUUCAGUGGGGAAGAAAGCCUUGGGGCUAAUACCCUCGAGGAAGGACAUCACCCACAGAAGAAGCACCGGCUAACUCCGUGCCAGCAGCCGCGGUAAUACGGAGGGUGCGAGCGUUAAUCGGAAUUACUGGGCGUAAAGCGCGCGUAGGCGGUCUGAUAAGCCGGUUGUGAAAGCCCCGGGCUCAACCUGGGAACGGCAUCCGGAACUGUCAGGCUAGAGUGCAGGAGAGGAAGGUAGAAUUCCCGGUGUAGCGGUGAAAUGCGUAGAGAUCGGGAGGAAUACCAGUGGCGAAGGCGGCCUUCUGGACUGACACUGACGCUGAGGUGCGAAAGCGUGGGUAGCAAACAGGAUUAGAUACCCCAGUAGUC
rnacentral:rRNA from 1 species